UCCAGACUCCUACGGGAGGCAGCAGUGGGGGAUAUUGCACAAUGGGGGGAACCCUGAUGCAGCGACGCCGCGUGGGUGAAGGAGCGUUUCGGCGCGUAAAGCCCUAUCGGCAGGGAAGAAGGAGGACGGUACCUGACUAAGAAGUCCCGGCUAACUACGUGCCAGCAGCCGCGGUAAUACGUAGGGGGCAAGCGUUAUCCGGAUUUACUGGGUGUAAAGGGGGCGCAGGCGGCAGCGCAAGCCAGGAGUGAAAGCCCGGGGCCCAACCCCGGGACUGCUCUUGGAACUGCGCGGCUGGAGUGCAGGAGGGGCAGGCGGAAUUCCUGGUGUAGCGGUGAAAUGCGUAGAUAUCAGGAGGAACACCUGUGGCGAAGGCGGCCUGCUGGACUGCGACUGACGUUGAGGCCCGAAAGCGUGGGGAGCAAACAGGAUUAGAUACCUGGUA
rnacentral:rRNA from 1 species